UACGUAGGGUGCGAGCGUUGUCCGGAAUUACUGGGCGUAAAGCGCGUGUAGGCGGGUCUUUAAGUCAGGGGUGAAAUGCCAAGGCUCAACCUUGGAACUGCCUUUGAUACUGGAGAUCUUGAGUCCGGGAGAGGUGAGUGGAACUGCGAGUGUAGAGGUGAAAUUCGUAGAUAUUCGCAAGAACACCAGUGGCGAAGGCGGCUCACUGGCCCGGAACUGACGCUGAGACGCGAAAGCGUGGGGAGCAAACAGG
rnacentral:rRNA from 1 species